rnacentral:rRNA from 1 species
AUGAACGCUAGCUACAGGCUUAACACAUGCAAGUCGAGGGGUAGCAAAAUCAAAGCUUGCUUUGAUUGUUGACGACCGGCGCACGGGUGAGUAACACGUAUCCAACCUUCCCUUUACUCGGGGAUAGCCUUUCGAAAGAAAGAUUAAUACCCGAUGGUAUGGCUUUUCCGCAUGGAAGAACCAUUAAAGUUUUUCGGUAUUGGAUGGGGAUGCGUUUCAUUAGAUUGUUGGUGAGGUAACGGCUCACCAAGUCUUCGAUGAAUAGGGGUUCUGAGAGGAAGGUCCCCCACACUGGUACUGAGACACGGACCAGACUCCUACGGGAGGCAGCAGUGAGGAAUAUUGGUCAAUGGGCGAGAGCCUGAACCAGCCAAGUAGCGUGAAGGAUGACUGCCCUAUGGGUUGUAAACUUCUUUUAUAUGGGAAUAAAGUGAGGUACGUGUGCCUUUUUGUAUGUACCAUAUGAAUAAGGAUCGGCUAACUCCGUGCCAGCAGCCGCGGUAAUACGGAGGAUCCGAGCGUUAUCCGGAUUAUUGGGUUUAAAGGGUGCGUAGGCGGACGUUUAAGUCAGCUGUGAAAGUUGAGGCUCAACCUUAAAAUUGCAGUUGAUACUGGGCGUCUGAGUAUAGUGAGUUAGCGGAAUUCGUGUGUAGCGUGAAUGCUU